GAUUGCGGCGGGAAGUCCUCCGAGUCAUGAAUGUUUCAGCGCGGCGCGCGAGGUGAGGGCCGCGCGUCCAGGUGUAAGCUAGCAGGUUGUCGCUGACAUCUGUUUGCAGCGGCGGCAGCGGCCUCCCUAGCCCGCAGCGAGCGGCCGGAUUGUCAGCGGAGGUAGUUGAGAGCGGCAGAACCGUUUUGGUCUCACUCUCGCUGCCUGGAGGCCUGAAACACCAAAGGGCCGGUGCAUAAACUUCUCCCGAGUUCCAUCUCAGUAAAAGGGAAGCAGGAAGACCAAGAAGGUACGAAGAUGGCACAUUUUCACAUAGCUUGAUUUUCAACCAAAUGAAAAAAAUCAAGUGCAUUUCAGAAGCUUUUGGAAGAGCAGCUUAAUUCCUCUCAGUCAGGAAAUGUUUUCUCUGCCUUCUGCUGUGCUUGCACCAAACAUUUCUAAACACUUGUUCUGCCAUCUACAUGGGAGGUGAUGAAACUCAGUGGUAACUCAUGAUUUAUGACAUUGAAAAUAAAGAGGAACAUUGACCUGCAGACUAUGGUUUGUACAAGAAAGUUUGUUUGAAUGUGUAGAAGAGGAAAAAGCAACAACAGCAACAACACGAAGAUGAUACCAAAACAAGGACCGCAAAACAACUAGCCAUGAUGGGAGACAGGAGUUUUUUACAUGGAAACAUGGCACUUGUGUUUUUAUGUGGCAAGAUCUUUAUCCAUAGGCAGAGUAUGAAAUUUCCCACCAGGCUAAGCAAAUAAAGAAGUCCAUUGCCUUAUAGCUAUGUCAGAUCACAGAAUCCUUCCAAGUGCCCUAUCACAGUGUGCCUUAUGGGAAGUUUCUGACUGGAAAAUCUUGUCAUUCUAACACUGAAAAGUGCACACGCAUGACAAAAUGUAGACAAGAUGCCUCAAGGUAUUGGUAGCAAGCAAGAUUUUGCCC
rnacentral:sRNA from 1 species